rnacentral:rRNA from 1 species
UGGCGGACGGGUGAGUAAUGUCUGGGAAACUGCCCGAUGGAGGGGGAUAACUACUGGAAACGGUAGCUAAUACCGCAUAAUGUCUACGGACCAAAGCGGGGGACCUCCGGGCCUCGCGCCAUCAGAUGAACCCAUAUGGGAUUAGCUUGUAGGUAAGGUAACGGCUUACCUAGGCGACGAUCCCUAGCUGGUCUGAGAGGAUGACCAGCCACACUGGAACUGAGACACGGUCCAG